rnacentral:lncRNA from 1 species
UUCUGAAGUAUCUUAUUAAUAAAAUAUGAAUAGUAUUAUUGAUCGUCUUUGGUGUAAGUGGUAAAAAGUUUGGAGUUUGGUGGUUGAUAUUUGAGGUCUCAAGUUCGAGUCCUAAUUGAUUUACAUUUCAAGCUAAAUUUAUUUUUUAAAAAAAUAAACGAAACAAGUAACAUGCUAACUGUCUCUUAAAAAAUGGAUGAAUAGU